UUCCAAAUUCUUAGGUCAAAAACCACUACUAAGAAGCAAAUUCAACAUUUGGUUUCGUUGACAGAAACAACCCGUUUUUGGGCCAAAGCAGAAAACGAACAAAACUCUAUGGGACCACCAAAUAAAUUAAAAUAGAAAAUAAUAUUACUUUUUUAUUUUGUUGUGGCAAAAUAUUUAGGCUUAUAUAAAAAACAACGUUUGUUUACUAGCGAAGAAAGGUGAUAAUGUUUAACAGGACGCAAUGCAGGGAAUACCAUGAUUUCAGAAAGAGCCACUAAUCCUCAUCAGUUCUUCCCAGCAGUCAUUUAAAAAACUCCUAUGACAAAACCUUUUUUUACCCAAGUGAAGACAUCGUAAGCUUAAUAAAAGAGGAACCAAAGAAUUGAAUAAAAGUUCAAUUCUUUCGGCAUUUCUUCUAAAUUUUACAACCGCGCUUAUAAACAUUUUUAUACCAUCCACCUUGGAAAGGAGGGUAUAUUAACUUGUCAUUCCGUUGCCAACAUCCCUAAAUAUUCAUCGCAGACCCCAUGAAGUAUAUAUUUGUAAUCGGUAUACAAUUUUAAGUUGAUUUAACUAUGUCCGUCUGUCUGUCUGUUGAAAUCACGAUACAGCCCACAUUAUUUGACGUACACCUUCAAAAUUUGGCAGUACAACUUGUAUUGUGUCUAGGAUGGUUGGUAUUGAAAAUGAGAUAUAUCGUUUUGGUGUUGCCGCCAUAUAACCUCCCGAUAUUCAAUAUUUUUAUGAUUUUCGCCACACAUUUUCCACGAAUUUGUCUAAAAAUUGGUAUAUGUAGGUCAUAAUGGUUUCACAGGCGGAACAUCGCAUGUAUAGGUCCACGUUUUCGAAUAGCCCACAUAUAACGGUAUCUCCCUAUAUUCGGUAUUUUGAUGAUUUUUGCCACUUUUUUCCCCACGGAUUUGUCUAAAAAUUGGUAUUUGUAGGUCAUAAUGGGUUCUAGUUCCGGUGGCGAAACAUUGUAUGUGUAGGUCUACGUUUUGGUAUAGACCACAUAUAACGGUACCUCCCGAUAUUCAGUGGGUUGAUAAAAAAUAUUGCAUUUGCAGUUUAUAAUGGGUUCUAGCUCGGUGGCAAAACAUUGAAUAUUUAAUUCCACGUUUUCCUAAGCGCACAUAUAACUAUACCCACCGAUAUUCGGUAUUUUGACAAUUCCUAAUCACAUUUACCCACAUAAUUGUUUAAAUUUUGGUAUUUUAGAAGAUUUGAUAAAUGACCAGCCUUGAAGUAUAAAUUUGCCUAUAGAGGUUCCCGUUUUGGUAUGGCCCCAUAUAACGGUCUCGCUCACUUUAUGUUUUUUGAUAAAUUUAACUACAUUAUGCAAACGGUCUUACUGAUAUAUAAAGUUUAAAGUAAAACACGCCAGAUACUUUUAUAUAAAAAUGUUUCCUUUACCUUAAGGUGGGGGGAUUGAAAGUUCGGUGGUAUCUCUCUCCACUUGUUAUGCCUUCGUUUAACUGAAUGAGAUAGUACAGCCAUGCAAAUUGGUAUUGUCUGUUACAAAAAAGCCUUCGUCGACUGUGCCUAGUUUAUUAAUAGAAUUUUGUUGGUAUUUUUGUUUAAUCCCAUAAUUGAUGUUUUUAUAAAAACAACGUUUGAUUAUUAGUGAAGAAAGAUGGAAAUGAUUACCUGUAGGCAAGGCAGGGAAUGCCAUUUUUUUCAAAAGACCCACCAAUCAUCCUCAGUUCCCUUGGUUUUUAAAAUAACUUCUAUGACAACCCUUUUUUACCCGUGUUAGGAGAUAGUAAAAUCAAUAGAAGAUGAACCAAUGAAUUGAAUUGAUUAUAAACAUUUUUCUCCUAUUAACCUGAACAAAAUAUCAUUACAAUGUAAUUUGUUUUUUCUGUUACAACAAAAACCCCUUCGUCGACGGUGCCCUAUUUAUUUUGCAAAAAAUAAAAUAAGUACGGUAUCCCGAACAAAAAUGCCAACGCAGUUCUAGUAAUCUAUCUUCUAUAUAUAUAAAAAUCAUUUGUUGUUCGUUUGUAAUGGAAUCAGUUGGGAAAGGACGGACCGAUUUGCAUUAUUUUUUUUUUGUACAAAGGUUCGUCAUACCCCGAAUUAGGUUUUUAAAGAAAAAAAUAUUGGCCUUGCCUACUUUUAUGAGCACUAUUUCGAUUUAUCUAAAAUGCUUAUAUUUGCCAGAAUAAUUAAGAUGUCGGUUUGAAAAUUAUUACACAAGGUACUGUAGACUUCCCAUCCAACCCUAAGUACAAUUUAUUUGGGGCAGAGGAACUGACCACGACUACUUUUUAAUAUAUAUAUCAAUUGUUGUUCGUUGGUAAUCGAAUAAGCUAAGAACGGCUGGACGGAUUUUGGUUUUUAUGCAAAGAAAAAGUGAUGACGUCUACUUUUACGCCCAUUUUUUGGAUUCACCUAAAAUCCUAAUAUUUGUCAAAAUAAUGAAGAUAUUCGUUCCAUAUAUAUAUGGAAGUAGUAGUAUAUGAAGUAGUAUCUGAAGUAGUAUAUGAAGUAGUAUAUGACCUACUCUUGACUCUCCCUCCAAGCCUAGGUAUCUGUUUGGGGUCAGAGGAACUAGCCACACAUACUUCUUUAAAUUUAUAUGUAUAAAAUUUAAAAAAAAAAUAGUAACACGUAUGUUGAGAACUGUUUGGUCGAAUUGACUCAAAUUUUCUUUUGGUUUUUUGUAAUUAUAGUGGAAACGUUUUCAUGAAUGAAAAAUUUGAGAAAAGCCUAUAGAAAAGCGCGGAAGUGAAAAACUUGGAUUUUCUAUUUUGAUAAGGAAUUUUGUAUAGCAUUGUUUCAGAAUGCCUUUUGGAAUUGAAAAUCGUUUUUGCAAAAAAGGAGAAAUUUUGCAUAUAUUCUAUACAAUUUUGAUUUCAAAAUACUUCUCAAAGCAUCAAAACAUUUAAAACCCCAAUGUACUUUCAAAUUGGGGCUAUGCAUAUUGGGAAACAAUAGAAAAUUAAGUAGUAAACAGUUAUUGCCGGUAUUGCUUUCACAAUACUGAGAACUUUAAAUGUCAAAUUACAGUUAAGUCGGUAGAAAUUAUAACAAAACCAUACAAAAGGAUGAAUGUUUAGCGGCAUUAUUAUGCCGAAACGAAACGUAUAUCUUCUAACUUCCUAGGAAUAUUGUAUAAAUGAUCAAAAAUUAACCUAAAUAUUUCGCUUUUAUUGCGAUUUUAACGAACGGCCACAUACACAGACGGAUAUAGAUUAACUGACAUAGGAUUUUGCACAAAAUCGGCAGGUUAUAUGGGAAAUCAGUAUUAAAGGACUACACUUAAGUGUACUUAAAUCAUAAAAUGCCACAUUGGAGCACAUUUAGUCGACGAAUAUAAGGAGAUAAUAUUAUAUGAGGGCUAUAUCUAAAUGAGAACAAAUAUAUAUCGUCUGUAACAUCAAUAAUCCUAAGAAUAAUAUUUGCUAAGUCUGAAAGACACAUAUUAAAUUUGGUGAGCUCUAUCGUAAUAGCGGAUGGAGUACUGAGAGGAUCACGUGCAUAAUUUAAUCGACAAAGAUUUGUACUCUUUAACAUACAUUAUAGGAUCAAUAACUUUUAUAAACCGAUGACACCUUAUUUAAGAUAGUUAAAUUCAAUUUAGAAAUUAUUAUCGAUUCUGACGACGAAAACUCCAACAAAUUGAAAACAUAUAUACAUGCGUAUAUGCAACAUGUCCUUCAUUCACCAUAAAUAUGUAUUGUGCACUCUAAAUAAAUAAGUUGAAACGAAUACAACAAUAAACCACAAAACAAGGAAAACAGAAAUAAGCAUGAACACCGCCAAAUUUGUAGAUUGACGAUAAUUGCAAGCCAACAUUGUUUAUUAAAGUUUAGGCUUUUUUAAAGAGAAAAGCUAACCAUUUACAACUUAUAUUAGGUUCUUAAAAAUAUGCAUUACACGCUAAUACAAUGAGCCAGCAGUCCGGGUUUGCUCUGCAAAAGAGAGCGGUUUAAGAGAGAAAUUUUGACAGUUCUUUCAGUGAGAGUUUGCAAAUUCUUGCUGGACAAAUUUCUUCUUGCAAUCUCUUUCAACUCUUCUUCUUCUCAUUCAUCGACAUUCAAUCAGAUGUUUUCUAUUGUUUAUUUACUUCUUUUUGUGAUGUUAAUUUGAAAAUAUUGUUUUGGAAUUAGCAAGGCUAAUUGUUUUUGGAGAACAACUUUACAAAUUUGAAAAACAUAAAUAUUAAUAUGUAAUAAGAAAGUAAAAGAUUAUUUACAACAUAUUUAGACAACUGCCAUUAGUAACAGGUUUAAAGGAUUCCGCGGAACAGAUCAAAUCUAUCUUCCUUUUAUUGUCAAUUUCCUUUUUAUUUAUAAAACUUGUGAAAUUGGUGGUUGUUCCUUUCAUUUAAUUCUUUUAAUGGGGGACAAUUUGGUUUGAUUUGACAAAUCAGCUGAUUAGUUGCAAGCUUCUGCAGUAAUACCAUCUGUUUACUUUUCGCAAUUUCCUUGCAAAAGAGAAUAAAACUACCUUACUCUCUCAGAAAGAUUUUGCUGGACAAUUCCUGCAGGAAAAGUAACCAAACUCACCUAAUAUGUAUUGUGCAUUCUAAAUAAAUAAGUUGAAACGAAAACAACAAUAAACCACAAAACAAGAAAAACAGCAAUAAGCAUGAACACCGCCAAAUUUGUAGAUUGACGAUACUUGCAAGCCAACUUUGUUUAGGUUUUUAAAGAGAGAAGCUAACCAUUUAAAAAUAUACAUUACACGCUAAUACUAUGGGCCAGCAACGCGCCCGUUCCGCGUUGCCGGCUCGUAGUUUUAGUCUUUAAUGCAUAGUUUUUAAAGCAUAAUAAUUCACAGAUCUGGCUUACAUAAUUGACACAAUUUUUAUACCCUCCACCAUACAUGGAGGGUAUAUUAAGUUCGUCAUUCCGUUUGUAACUCAUCGAAAUAAUCAUUUUAGACCAAACAAAGUAUAUAUAUUCUUGAUCAGCGUAAAAUUCUAAGACGAUUUAGCUUUGUCCGCCCGUCUGUCCGUCCGUCCGUCUGUUGUAAUCACGCUACAGGCUAAAUGAAUUAAGAUAGAAAGCUAAAAUUUUGCCCAGAUCUCUCUUUUGUCUGCAAGCAGGUCAAGUUCGAAGAUGGUCCAUGUCGGUCCACGAUAUCGUAUAGCGCCCAUAUAACGGUACCCCCGAUAUCCGGUAUUUUGAUUAUUGUAGCCACAUUUUACAAUGGAAUUGUAUAAAAAUUCACACAAGGAGUUCUUUUUGUGUACUUUAUCCCUUGGCUGAGAAUUAUCUAUAUAGGUCCACGAUAUCGUAUAGCCCCCAUAUAACGGUACCCCCGAUAUUCUGUAUUCUGAUGAUUUUAGUCACAUUUCUAAUAAAAUAGUCUGAAAAUCCACACGUUGAGAUCUUUGUGGGAACUUCACCCCCUGAAAGAGAAUUGUCUAUAUAGGUCCACGAUAUCGUAUAUCCCCCAUAUAACGGUGCCCCCCGAUAUUCGGUAUUUUGAUGAUUUUUGCCACAUUUUUAAACGGAAUUGCCUUAAAUUCUAUGCAAGGAGUUAUUUGUGAGUAUUUUAUCCCUAGACAUAAUUUUGUCUAUAUAGGUCCACUAUAUCGUUUAUCCCCCAUAUAUCGGCACCUUCACAGAUUUUAACAGAAUUUUCAAUGGAUUUUAUUUUUUGAAAAUGUCCUAAUUCCUAAUGGUGGAGGGUAUUCAAAGUUCUACCAGGCCGAACUUACUGCUCUGUUACUUGUUAAUAUAAAUGAUGACUCGACUAAAUAGAAUUAAAUAAAAAUGUCAAUACAUAUUCACGUAACGGGCGAUUUAUAGUGUUUCAAAAUACCUGAUCCUAUUUUUCAGCCAGAGGAUUGGGCGGACCAGACCAAAAUGUAAGACAAAUGGCUUCUUCGAAUUUAAAAUGCAAAAAAUUGACUGGAGGUGUACCUAACAAGGAGCAGAUAUUAUCGCCAACAGAAGAAGCAAUAUACAAUUUAAUACCAAUGAAAUCUUCCGUGGAAGCAGUGACGGUGCAACCCAAAGGUCUAGCUGGAAGAAGACACUCUAACAUUAAAUACUUAGAUAUGGACCGUGUACUGGCUUCUAAGUUAAAGGAUUCCAUUCGAUAAAAAUAGAGAGCUACAUCAAAUUCUCCGCCAUAACAAUAUUAUGAGAAGUAUCGCCUUCGAGAAAUCGAAUCCAAAUUGCAAAAAAACAUCCAAUUAGAACUUACUUAUGUAUUAAAAAUUUAUUUAUAUUAUUUUUCCUGUUUCAUUUAAGGCAAUUUUAGUUUAAUGCUAUGAAUUAAUUUUAACUUAUUUCUUCCUUUUUUUAAUUUUUCGAGGUUCGACCUAAUGUAUUACAAGGAUAUUGAUACAAAUGUCAUAGAGCUCGACUUUAAAGUCGCUUUUAUCGAGAGUUCAAUACCAAAUUUGGAAAGAUGAAGAUCGUUUCGAUCGACAAUAUUAAAAUAAGCUAAAAUAAAAAAUUAAUAAAAUAAACGUAGCGUCUUCUA